AGUCGAACGCGAAAGCCCCCUUCGGGGGGCAAGUAGAGUGGCGCACGGGUGAGUAACACGUAGGUAAUCUACCUUUGGAUGGGGAAUAACCACCGGAAACGGUGGCUAAUACCGCAUAAUGCAGCGGCACCUAAUGGUGACAGUUGUUAAAGCGGGGGAUCGUAAGACCUCGCGUCUGAAGAGGAGCCUGCGGCAGAUUAGCUAGUUGGUAAGGUAACGGCUUACCAAGGCGAUGAUCUGUAGCCGGCCUGAGAGGGCGGUCGGCCACACUGACACUGACAUACGGGUCAGACUCCUACGGGAGGCAGCAGUCGGGAAUUUUGGGCAAUGGGCGCAAGCCUGACCCAGCAACGCCGCGUGAAGGAUGAAAUCCCUCGGGAUGUAAACUUCGCAAGAACGGGAAGAAUAAGUAAGAGUUAAUAUCUCUUACGAUGACGGUACUGUUUGUAAGCUCCGGCUAACUCCGUGCCAGCAGCCGCGGUAAUACGGGGGGAGCAAGCGUUGUUCGGAUUUACUGGGCGUAAAGGGCGCGUAGGCGGCCACCGCAAGUCGACUGUGAAAUCUCCGGGCUUAACUCGGAAGGGUCAGCCGAUACUGCGGGGCUAGAGUGCAGAAGGGGCAACUGGAAUUCUCGGUGUAGCGGUGAAAUGCGUAGAUAUCAAGAGGAACACCUGCGGCGAAGGCGGGUUGCUGGGCUGACACUGACGCUGAGACGCGAAAGCUAGGGGAGCGAACGGGAUUAGAUACCCCGGUAGUCCUAGCCUUAAACGAUGAAUGCUUGGUGUCUGGGGUUUUAUAGUCCCC
rnacentral:rRNA from 1 species